rnacentral:rRNA from 1 species
UUCAUGGAAACGUGGACUAAUACCGUAUGUGCCCCUUCGGGGGGAAAGCGUUAUGUAGCGCCUUUGGAUGAGCCCGCGCUGGAUUAGGUAGUUGGUGGGGUAAUGGCCUACCAAGCCUACGAUCUAUAGCUGGUCUGAGAGGAUGAUCAGCCACACUGGAACUGAGACACGGUCCAGACUCCUACGGGAGGCAGCAGUGGGGAAUCUUGCACAAUGGGCGCAAGCCUGAUGCAGCCAUGCCGCGUGAGUGAAGAAGGCCCUAGGGUUGUAAAACUCUUUCGCCGGUGAAGAUAAUGACGGUAACCGGUAAAGAAGCCCCGGCCAACUCCGUGCCAGCAGCCGCGGUAAUACGGAGGGGGCUAGCAUUGUUCGGAAUUACUGGGCGUAAAGCGCGCGUAGGCGGAUUAACAAGUUGGGGGUGAAAGCCCGGAGCUCAACUCCGGAACUGCCUCCAAAACUGUUUCUCUAGAGUCCGGAAGAGGUGAGUGGAAUUCCUAGUGUAGAGGUGGAAUUCGUAGAUAUUAGGAAGAACACCAGUGGCGAAGGCGGCUCACUGGUCCGGUACUGACGCUGAGGUGCGAAAGUGUGGGGAGCAAACAGGAUUAGAUACCCUGGUAGUCCACACCGUAAACGAUGGAUGCUAUUUGUCGGGCGGCUUGCCGUUCGGUGACGCAGCUAACGCGUUAAGCAUCCCGCCUGGG